rnacentral:rRNA from 1 species
AGUGAACGCUGGCGGCGUGCUUAACACAUGCAAGUCGAACGAGAACGGAUUAUAGCUUGCUAUAAUUGUCAGCUAAGUGGCGCACGGGUGAGUAAUGUAUAGGUAAUAUGCCUCUUACUAAGGGAGAACAAAUGGAAACGUUUGCUAAUACCUUAUACUCCUUAUUAACAGAAGUUAAUAAGGGAAAGAUUUAUUGGUAAGAGAUUAGCCUGUAUUGUAUCAGUUAGUUGGUGAGGUAAUGGCUUACCAAGACUAUGACACAUAACUGGUUUGAGAGGAUGAUCAGUCACACUGGAACUGAGACACGGUCCAGACUCCUACGGGAGGCAGCAGUGGGGAAUAUUGCACAAUGGACGAAAGUCUGAUGCAGCAACGCCGCGUGGAGGAUGACACAUUUCGGUGCGUAAACUCCUUUUAUAUGAGAAGAUAAUGACGGUAUUAUAUGAAUAAGCACCGGCUAACUCCGUGCCAGUCGCCGCCGUAA